rfam:Trichodesmium erythraeum IMS101, complete genome.
AGAAGCCGGAUGAGGUGAAAGUCUCACGUCCGGUUUUGAAGACGAGUCGGGUAAGGUAACUUACCUGGCUUAGUUUAAC